ACUCUUGGGGGUACCUGGGCACCAUCCCUGAGUCAGUCCUGCUUGCCUUGCCCUCCCAUCCAGCCUGGCUGCUCUCCGACAGCACCAGGGGCCCCUCAGCCAGGGUAUCAUUUAUUUUAGCUGUUUGUCUCUCAGAGUCUGUAAAUUUUACAUGAGAACUUCUCACAAAACUCAUCAAUUAACAGCUGAAUUCAGCUUAUGCCUGUAAGCAGCAGAUCAGGAACAGAGUACCAGCAUGAAGUGGCCACUGAAUAAUUCUGAACCAAAGGCAUGGCUGUAGAUGAUUUACCAUCUGCGAUGAACCGACAGAGCUGGGACGUGACAGAAGACAGGGAAGUUGAAGCCUGAAGCUCCUUCUGUGGGAGGAGGGACAAGUAUCCAAGAAUCCCUGAUUAGCUGGAAUGUCCAUUUUGGUGCCUGUGAGUCAGUCUGGCUGUUCUGACCAUGUUACAAAGGCUAAGGAGUACCAGAGGAGAUUAGAGCUGUAUUUUCCCAGACUUUAGACGAGAGAUCUCUGGGGCCAUGUCUGCCGAACCUUCCAGCCAAGCUCCAC